GUCUAUGGCCAUGAUACACUGAACAAGCCCAAUCCCAUCUGAUCUCAGAAGCUAAGCAGGGUCGGGCCUGGUUAGUACUUAGAUGGGAGACCACCUAGGAAGAGCACGUGCUACAGGCA
ensembl:rRNA 5S_rRNA 5S ribosomal RNA